GCGUCGGUAGUCCCAACGGUUAGCACCAUGCUCCCGGAAAGAGUAAGAUUUGGGUUCGAUUCCCGGCUGACGCA